rnacentral:misc_RNA from 1 species
CAAGAAGGAAGAACGUUGCCGCAUCUAAGAUUGACAUUGUAAAAUUGGAAGAUUCAAAUGAAGGGAAGCCUAUUGGUCCAUCAAAGAAGCAGAUCAAGCGAGUGGAUUCAGCAAAUGAUCAAGUUUCAGAUGCUGAUGAGUGUUGGAUUUCACUCAAGUAUCAUGGCUCCAAGAGUGAUUUUUCUUCUAGAUAUCUAAAAAAAAUGGUGGCACAAGAGAGUUCUCCGAUGGAGUUCACAAUGAGCCCGUACGACUAUUUGAGUUCAUUGUGUCCAAUGGCAUCCAACGACAAUACUAAAUCUAAAGGUUCCUCAAGAAGGUUAUUGCUUUCACUGCCACUGGAAGAACGUAUUAAGAAACUGCUUUUAGAGGGGCCUCCAGUUCAACGGUUUAGUGUUCUUAAGCAUUAUGCUCCUGAUGAUGCCAUUGAAGAUGUCUUAACUGUUCUUCAGAAGCAUGGACAAUUAGUUCAGGGACUUUGGGCUCCAAAGACUUCAUUGCUGUUUCCAGAUUCAAAUACAAAGGAAGUUACUAAACCUCCGGCUAGAGAUUAUGUUCUUCUUUUAUUUAGCAAGAAUUUGGUGAUCAAGUCUUCACAACUUAACUUCCCAAUCAAGCUUAAAGAAGAUAUGAAGAGCUUCCUCAACGUGUUUGCAGUUGAAAGGCCUUCCUUUAAGGAUUGGAAGUUCAAAGAGCAUAUGGAUGCAACAUUUAUAAAACUCUACCCAGAAAUUGUUAAAAAGCAAGAAGAAGCUUGGGAAGCCAUAGAGAAAAAGUUAAAUGACUUUUUUAGUCGAGCUGGAAGACCUAUGAUGAAGAAUCCUGUACCAAAGCCCAGUGUGGCUCAUAAUCCUGUAAAACAAUUGAAUUCUGACAAAAGCACAACCAAAAGUGCUAGUGGAAAUAGAGUACUCACUAAAACUACCAUAACAGUUGAAACGCGAGAAGCUUUACUAAAGGCCCUGCCAAAAGUUCUUCAAAAUCACAGGGUUUGCAGCUUUCAAUUGAUUUGCCAAGGUUUGCGGGACUUGGCCAUUUCUCAGUCUACUCUUCCAAAGGCAGAUCCUAGAAUUGCAGUAGCUGCAGCAUCUGGUGCUGAUGCUCCUUCAGAGGAGCUUCAAGAAAUCAUAAGCCAAGUUGCAACGAAUAUUCAUGGUUUUUAUGUUUUGAAGUCAUCCCCAGACCACCCACAAUAUGAUCCACUGAGGAAAGUAGUAAUUGAUCUUCUAUUGGCAAGGGGCCCUGAUGCAAAGCUUAAGAAGGCUGAAGUAUUCGAAGCAGCCAGGCUUGCUCUUCAUAGGGAUGUUACCAAUGUUGAAUAUACGAAGGUUAUGACUGAUUUUUGUGAAUCCAAAGGUUCUGCGUGGGUAUUGAAGAGUGGUGAUGGAAAGCCGUCAUGAUUUUAUGUUAAAUCAUUCAUUAGAAGGAUGAAGAAAAUUGGUUGGAAGGUACAGGUCAUAUCAUUUUAGUGGAAGUCAAGGCACGUGAGAAAGAAUAUAACCAAGAACACUGAUAAAGCGGCUUUGAAGAAUUCUGAUCCAGAAAUUACAUGCGUAUUGCCUAGGGUAACUGCGAAGUAGCAAGAUUCGUGGUCCAAACUUGAAGGCGAAAUUGAAGCCAUCAGAGGAGCCCGAGAACUGCAAUCCAGAUGCUUAAUCCAACAAUCUGCUUGAAGAUCAUAAAUGAGAGUUUCAUACUUUCAACCCAAUAGAUGUUUGCUGUCAUAAGUGAAAAUUUUGAUUGGGUGUUGAUCGUCAAAUAGGUCUGUUAAUCUUGAUUCAGUUUUUUGGCUGUCUAUACAAAGUCGUUUCUGUUUGCAAACCAAAACGGGUUUCUAAAUCUUUUUCGCACGUAUGCGUUGGCACUUAGCAUGCGACGUUCAUCGGUUUUCUCUGUAAGCGGCAAACAAUAAUUUUCUUUAUCUGCUAAUCAAAAUGAAAGAAAGAAGAAAAAGAUAAGCAAGGGUUAGGGAACUGCAAUCCUCUAAUGAUUUGAGCACUUACAACUUGU